AAUGAAUUGCCUGAUAAAAGGGCUAUCUUGAUAGGGUAGAUUAUAUGAUAAAUAUCAUAUUCAUUA
rnacentral:tRNA from 1 species